UUCUUAAAUAAGCUGAUCCUGGAGCUUUCUGCAUUCCUUUUUUCAUCUUAGGGACAUAAAUUUGUAUCUGAUACAGGAACAAAAUUCAGCCCCAGUCUCCUUGGACGUCAGCACCCUACUCAGGAGAGUAGUAGAAGAAAAAACACCCUACUUCAUAAAGACAUUGUGAAGAAAAGUUUAUGAAUUAUUGAGUCAUGUUCUGAUACAGAGAGGUCAUAUAUGGAUGUGUGUCUGCAUCAGACAUAGCUAGCUAGAAUUGAUUGCUGCAUGAAUAAACAUUUACUGCUUCAGGCCCUGCAACAGUAAUGUCCCCUCUCUCAUCUCGUCCCUGAGUUUCUUAAUGGUCAUGUCCUGCAUGACACUUUGAAGGCUGUAUAUUGGAAAGGGCAAACUCUUGCUAUUUUUCUGUGCUGUACACUACUCAGCCCUUUCUGCCCCCAUUACUGUUUGAUCUUUUACAAGGGUAUCCUGUUGUGAAUUAUAGGAUGUAAUUAAGGAAGAUGGUUUUAAUCCUUCUCAUUGUAAAUGUACAAUACAAGAACCAGCUACAUGAUAUUGUGAAUUUUGUGCAGCCUGUAAGUAAGGGUGACCAAACUAUUUUCUCUGGAUAGAGUAAAUCCUUCUUACCCUCAUCCUUCAGACUUCAAACUGAACUUGAUCCAAACAUCCUUUCCUCCAAUUUAGGAAAAACUUCAUUCACUUUUAAGUUUCAUUUUCAUGUGAAAAUGCUGUGAAAUAAAUUGUUCCUGUAGUAUUUUCAACCAUGACCUGAAGUAGAAAGUACCAGAAAUACCAUGAGAAAACCUAACGAUGGGUUGAUCUCCACACAAUUAAGAGGUGUAAUGAAUUCAGGUGAGAUUUCUGGGACAGCAGGCAAAUGCAAGGGUUCACAUUAAGGGGUAACUAAAAUGAUCUGGGCAAAAUGCAACAUUUGAACAUUACACCAGAAAACAUAAAUAAUUGGCCUUUUAAGUAAAGCAAAAAUCUAAUUUGAAAGACUUCAGGUAGUGAUACUAGUUGUGCCUAGAUUUCCACGCUGGUGUGCUCCACAGCAUCCUGGCCCUGAGUGUACACUAGGGGAUAUAUUGGCAAGCAUAGUAAAUCAAUUCCUGCCCAAUACUUUUUUCUUUUUUUUCCCAGUGGAAAAUAAGGCACCUGGGGAGAUGGCACAUACCCAAGCCUCCACGUGACGAGCAGUAUAUGGUCAAAGUGCGCACUUCAGCACAAUUGUUUCUGCAUCCUCCAGUUUAUAUAGACUUUUCAAUCACAUUUUAACAUAACUUUUCAAGUCUUGCAGUAACAUUUAGAAGCCUCAUUCCCAUGCUAUGCAUUAUAAAACCAUGGGAGGAAAGAACUGUGCCCCCAGAUCUUCCAUUUGACAUAGAAAAAGGUAGUGCUGAGCUUGAAGGAGAGCAGUGGGAAGCGAUUUGUAUACUAGCCUUGGCAUUUUGCCCAGACCAUGCAACAGUUCUGUUUGCACCAAUUGUUUGUAUUAUCCUUUGCUACCUACACCGCUAUGUAAUGAUGAGUGUUGGGAGUGUGCAAGCCUUCAGCAGCAAGGUUCGUCAGCCUGGGCUGCAGUGAUCCCAUCUCUGAUACAGAUUGGCAUGCAGGGUGAUGUGUAAAACACAUAUCACUAUGCAAAAUACUCCUUCAGAUCAAAGAAAAUUUGCCCAGGAUUUCCAAGACCCUCUGACCACUGGAUAACAGAAUCACAGAUCAUUGGGAUUUCUGAAUCUGAAGGUUAGUGCAGCUAUAAACUGUUGUGCUCCUUCUCAAGCCAUGAUGUAGAAUAUCUAUAGACAGGGAUGAUUUGACUAGAGACCGAUAUGGUACUGGUGAAUGCCAAACAUCUGCUGGAGCAGGAAAGGGUGAUGUGAUGACCUCUGCAUACUUAAAUCCUAUAGAAAUUAAUUCUGGGAUAAGGCCAGAGAGCCACUAUUGAUUCUGACAGAAUUAUUCUGGAUGCAUAACCAUGUAACUGAAAGCAGAAAUUGGCCCGACAUGUAAUCUGCUUUGGGAUGAAAGGCACAAUUUAAAUGGAAGAUGCUAUUAUUAUUAUUAUUAUUAUUUCCCUUCUAGGGCUAGUAAAGCCCUUAGCUUUCAUCUUCAAGCAGGAGAGGAGGGUGAAAAAAGAGUGCUUUUUUUUUUUUUUCCUUAAAUAUUUAAACAAGAUGUAAGUCUGCCAUUCAAAGGAUGCCAAAAACAACAACAACAACAAAAACUCACACCACCAAACAGCUAGAAACCGAGCAAAACUGAAGUAGAUUUGACCUCAAAGGAGCUGAAAUUGAGUUAAAGUUUACUACUGAAGUCAGGUUUCCCUUGGGGGGUAGGCUGCCAUUUAAGCUAUUUCUUCUCUUUUACUUGUACAGUAUAAUUCCCCUAAUACAGUGCUAUAGGUCAAAAAAGAGCUCCACUACAGCUGGGUUCCAAUUUCCAUUUACCAGCAAGAAAAAACUCUCCUUGUAUAAAACAGCUUAGUAUUAUUUUGUGGAAGAAUUGGCUCCUAAAUACUACCUUGUAGAAGAAUAAGGCAACCUGUAUCUCGGUAGUCUGAAGUGAAAGCUACAUCUUCAGGGCACUAGCCUUCAACAGAUUAUACUCCUGAGUCUGCUACUAGCUCACUGUGUCUCUUCAUCACUUUUUUGUUUUUAAAAAAGGUACUCUUGGUGUAUCCGGUUAAUUUUUAGAUGUUUGCUUAUUUUUAUUUUCUUUUUACCUUUUCUUGAAUUACUUCUCAGCUUUCUUCCCACCUCUCUAUUCACUUAGAGCCGUGUGCACACCAUCUCUUCUGUCAAGAUGAAAAUCUGCACAGACUGAUGACUGAUUGGACUGUGAAUGGGGAAAAAUUAAGUAGCUUAUAGACCUGGUAUUGAUAAUAAAGGAGCAAACUGAUAUAAACAAAUUAAAAAAAAAUCCACUUACAUGCUUUACCCGCUUUCUCUCAGUUAUGGUACUUGUCAGUGCUUCUUGUAGCAGCAGGUACUAAGGAAGCUUGAGACAGAAGAAUGAUUUUUAAAUUUGUGUGAGCCCUUUUAAAGACACACAGGGAAACUACAUAUCCCACUGUGUUGGCAUCAAGCUUUGUUUUUCCCUGCCUUUUCUGUGCUAAAAAACAGCUUGCUGCUGCCACAUUAGUACCGGCAGAUCCUCCUGGUAGUGAAGGGAAUGAACUUCAUACUCUGCUAUGGCUUGUUGAGGCUGGUGGACUGUGAUCUGUUUUCAGGGGAAAGAAAGGGUUGAACCAAAGCCAAUUUUUGUGUUGUUUGAAUGUGCUGGAGGGGUUUUAGUAUAGAAUUAACUCUUCUGAAAUCAUUGCAUCCUGAAGAGAUCCUGAGACCAAAUUUAAAAGGUACAUUUAUGAUGACUCUUUUCUGUGUUUCAGUACUUGUCGGAAAAGAAAUUUUUGAAAUGUCCAUGUUUCAUAUGUGAAGCUGCUCUGGCCUGUAUUUAUCUCCCUGGAAACUGAAGUGCAUCUGAUUUGGCUUCAUUUGGGUUGACCCUUCUCUUCCUUUGCUAAGAUUUCUUUAAAAUGUUGGUAUAGGAAUGUUAAAACCAAGUGUUUUAUUUAUUUAUUUAACAACGUGGUGGUUUAAUUCAGCUGGGCAGCUGAGCUCCACCAGAACCGCUCUCUCCCUCCCCAGAGGGAAAGGGGGAGAAAAUAUGAUGAAAAGGGCUCAAGGGUUGCAAGGCUGAGGUAGGACAGGGCGAUCACUCACAGCAGUUUUACUCCCUUUCUUCAAUCUGCUCUCACAGAGGUGCAAACAACAUUGCUCACUGGUUUGGCUCUGGGCAGCGGCGGACCCCUUUGGAGCCAGCUGAAACUCGCCCUUAUCUGACAUGGGGCAGCUUCUGGACUCUUCUCACAGAGGCCACGCCUGCAGCCCCCUGCUACCAAAACCUUGUGACAUAAACCCAAUAUAAACAGCCAAAAGCUUAUUCCAGCUGGAAAGUCAGAAGUCCUUCAGUUUUGACCAAAGGAUUAAGAAAUCCCAAAGUCUUGCACUAAGGAGACAAGAAGGUGAGAUGAAGAAGAUGAAGACCAAAAAAAAAAAAAGCUUUCAAAAUCCUGGCUAUAUCUGUAUAAUAGUACAAUACUAUCAAUAAAUUCAUGAGCAUCCUGA